AGUGAACGCUGGCGGUAGGCCUAACACAUGCAAGUCGAACGGCAGCACAGUAAGAGCUUGCUCUUACGGGUGGCGAGUGGCGGACGGGUGAGGAAUACAUCGGAAUCUACUUUUUCGUGGGGGAUAACGUAGGGAAACUUACGCUAAUACCGCAUACGACCUACGGGUGAAAGCAGGGGAUCUUCGGACCUUGCGCGAUUGAAUGAGCCGAUGUCGGAUUAGCUAGUUGGCGGGGUAAAGGCCCACCAAGGCGACGAUCCGUAGCUGGUCUGAGAGGAUGAUCAGCCACACUGGAACUGAGACACGGUCCAGACUCCUACGGGAGGCAGCAGUGGGGAAUAUUGGACAAUGGGCGCAAGCCUGAUCAGCCAUACCGCGGGGGUGAAGAAGGCCUUCGGGUUGUAAAGCCCUUUUGUUGGGAAAGAAAAGCAGCAGGUUAAUACCCCGCUGUUCUGACGGUACCCAAAGAAUAAGCACCGGCUAACUUCGU
rnacentral:rRNA from 1 species